rnacentral:snRNA from 1 species
GUGCCCGCUUCGGCAGCACGUACACUAAAAUUGGAAUGAUACAGAGAUUAGCAUGGCCCCUGUACAAGGAUGAUACGCAAAUUCGUGACGCGUUCCAUUUUUUU